rnacentral:rRNA from 1 species
UACGUAGGGGGCAAGCGUUGUCCGGAUUUAUUGGGCGUAAAGAGCGUGUAGGCGGCUAGAUAGGUCCGUUGUGAAAACUCGAGGCUCAACCUCGAGACGUCGAUGGAAACCAUCUGGCUAGAGUCCGGAAGAGGAGAGUGGAAUUCCUGGUGUAGCGGUGAAAUGCGCAGAUAUCAGGAAGAACACCGGUGGCGAAGGCGGGUCUCUGGGCAGUAACUGACGCUGAGGAGCGAAAGCGUGGGGAGCGAACAGG